CUUUGAAUUAACUUUAUUCAUAAUAAAGGAAGCUGUCAAAGCACGUUAGCUACCUGUGUUGGACCUUUCACUCUCAUUAAACCCUCUUCUAGUGAAAGUAAAAACUGAAAUGGUGAACGGACAGUUGAGAGACCGUAGUCUACGGUUUGAAAUAAAGAACUUAUGUGUUUGUUUUUCCGUUAGCUAGUUGUUGUUAUGUUAGCAAAUUUUACCGUGAGUCAGUCAGUUCUGACCCUCAACAGUUGUCAGUAAUCCCAGGUAAACUCACCUGUGUUUGGUGUCGUUUGUUUUGCUUGUGGAGAUGGAAGACAAGAUGAAGGUAUCAGUGGACUUCUUAACAGCUUCUUAACAGCAGUGGACUCCAUUGACCGCACCUAACGUCAAGCUAGAGGGUGUGGGCCCUUAGGAGUGUCGCUUCCAGCCACACAGCAAACUACCCCAUCCCCGACAAACAACAAGUGAACCAGAGAUCUCGCCCUGUCCCAAUGCACUAGACACUUACAGCUCCAACACUGGGCAAAGCACUCCACUGCAGGAAGACGCGGGAGGUCUUUUUCACUUCUGCAGGUGGUGUGAAUGCUAUUGCCACACCUUCUGGAGCAGCGUGCCUGUAUCCAAAGCAAAGCUUUUGCAGCUGGGCUGCCCUGCCUCACUUGGAUGCAUCAACAAAGCUUGAAGUGGCCACUCUAAUCUGAGAUAAGACUGUGAGAGACUUCUUUUAUCAUCAACUUGCCUAACAGAUGGUUUCGAGGGAGAAAAAAAGAAUAUAAUCACAAUACCAACAUUUUUGUUGUAUUGAAGAUUUUCUCCCAUUGGAUCUUUAGGGCAGAUUGUCUCCAUUUUUCAAUGUGUCUAAACCCUUUGUUUGAGAGAGAUCUGUUAAAUCUGUCUUGCUGCUAAUA